CGCGUAGGCGGUCCGACAAGUCAGGGGUGAAAUCCUGCAGCUUAACUGCAGAAGUGCCUUUGAUACUGUCGGUCUGGAGGGAGGUAGGGGUGUGCGGAACUUCCAGUGGAGCGGUGAAAUGCGUUGAUAUUGGAAGGAACGCCGGAGGCGAAAGCGGCGCACUGGACCUCUUCUGACGCUGAGGCGCGAAAGCUAGGGAGCAAACG
rnacentral:rRNA from 1 species